GAUGAACGCUAGCUACAGGCUUAACACAUGCAAGUCGAGGGGCAGCAUGGUCUUAGCUUGCUAAGGCCGAUGGCGACCGGCGCACAGGUGAGUAACACGUAUCCAACCUGCCGUCUACUCUUGGACAGCCUUCUGAAAGGAAGAUUAAUACAAGAUGGCAUCAUGAGUCCACAUGUUCACAUGAUUAAAGGUAUUCCGGUAGACGAUGGGGAUGCGUUCCAUUAGAUAGUAGGCGGGGUAACGGCCCACCUAGUCUUCGAUGGAUAGGGGUUCUGAGAGGAAGGUCCCCCACAUUGGAACUGAGACACGGUCCAAACUCCUACGGGAGGCAGCAGUGAGGAAUAUUGGUCAAUGGGCGAGAGCCUGAACCAGCCAAGUAGCGUGAAGGAUGACUGCCCUAUGGGUUGUAAACUUCUUUUAUAAAGGAAUAAAGUCGGGUAUGGAUACCCGUUUGCAUGUACUUUAUGAAUAAGGAUCGGCUAACUCCGUGCCAGCAGCCGCGGUAAUACGGAGGAUCCGAGCGUUAUCCGGAUUUAUUGGGUUUAAAGGGAGCGUAGAUGGAUGUUUAAGUCAGUUGUGAAAGUUUGCGGCUCAACCGUAAAAUUGCAGUUGAUACUGGAUAUCUUGAGUGCAGUUGAGGCAGGCGGAAUUCGUGGUGUAGCGGUGAAAUGCUUAGAUAUCACGAAGAACUCCGAUUGCGAAGGCAGCCUGCUAAGCUGCAACUGACAUUGAGGCUCGAAAGUGUGGGUAUUAAACAGG
rnacentral:rRNA from 1 species